AUUCUUCCAUGUGCAAUCUUAUCCAUACUCCUCUCUUUUAGAUAUAAUGCGUGGCUUUUUUUCGUUUUUGUAUUCAACCAAAUCAGAUUUCUCGUUUCUUCUUUCUCUGAACUUCAACCAAGAUUUCAGUCUCUAUCUCUCUAACAAAAAGAUCCGUUUGAUUUCGCAUUAGCCAUAUUCUUAUCAGAUUUUGUCCGAUUUCAUCAACAUGAGACAUGAAGUUUUGUUUUGAAGGUUUGAUGAAGAUGAAGUCAGUGGAUUCAUCAAAAUUAAAAACGAAAUCACAAUAUUACCCAGAUUCAAGAUAGACUCAUGGAGUGAUUUAUGUGUUGUGUUCAAAGAAUCAGUUUAACAAUGGCAUCGACUUCAAACAAAGAAUAGGAUUUUCAAUCAACCUCGAAGAAUGGAAAGAAAGGCCAGUGAUAGCAAUGACGAACAAUCAAAUGAUGUCAAACUCUAUAAAUCAGAUUGCUAUGACAUGUUCUAAGAUGCCUUUGUUUCUUUAAUGCCAUUGAUCACAGUUUUUUAAUACUUUUAA